rnacentral:rRNA from 1 species
CCUACGGGAGGCAGCAGUGAGGAAUAUUGGUCAAUGGACGAGAGUCUGAACCAGCCAAGUAGCGUGAAGGAUGACUGCCCUAUGGGUUGUAAACUUCUUUUAUAAAGGAAUAAAACGAGGCACGUGUGCCUUUUUGCAUGUACUUUAUGAAUAAGGAUCGGCUAACUCCGUGCCAGCAGCCGCGGUAAUACGGAGGAUCCGAGCGUUAUCCGGAUUUAUUGGGUUUAAAGGGAGCGUAGAUGGGUUGUUAAGUCAGUUGUGAAAGUUUGCGGCUCAACCGUAAGAUUGCAAUUGAUACUGGCAGUCUUGAGAACAGGUGAGGUAGGCGGAAUUCGUGGUGUAGCGGUGAAAUGCUUAGAUAUCACGAAGAACCCCGAUUGCGAAGGCAGCUUACUAAACUGUGACUGACAUUGAUGCUCGAAAGUGUGGGUAUCGAACAGGAUUAGAUACCCGAGUAGUC